rnacentral:tRNA from 1 species
GGGUCGGUAGCUCAGUCGGUAGAGCAGCAGCCUUUUAAGCUGAGGGUCAUGGGUUCGAUUCCCAUCCGACCCACCA